rfam:Pristionchus pacificus strain PS312 contig13829, whole genome shotgun sequence.
UCUUCAUUUUCCAUACUCUCUCACCGGUCAGAGAGGCGAGAGAGUGUGUGAAAUGAAGAGA